GAAAUCUGAGGACAGAAUGAGCCUGCCAGCCAUGUCCUCCUGACAUUGCAAAUCUGGCCAAGAGAUGGGGCUGAACUUGCAAAUCCCUCUGGGGCUAUUCUCAGAAACCAAGUGAUGGGGAAACUUGACCUCAGCUGAUCUACCUGACACUCUGGGUUUCUCUACUGACCCUGACCAAGAAUGAAGUACAUCCAUGGGAGGCUAGAGAAAGGAGAAAUAAAUCCACCUGUCAUCAACUUGUCCAGAGCUCUCUCAAACCUGCUACCAGCCAAGUGGAAAACACUGAAAAGGGUCUGUGUGCAUGGGAAGAGAGAAUGACACUGCAGAACUUAAAAAAAGCACCUGAUGAUGCCUAGGAGCACACGUGUAACGCCUGAAGCUUCCUUGACAGAUCAGCUUCUGUUUGCAGCUCAGCAAACCAUAUGCUACAUUCACUCACUCCUCAAGAAUCAUCUGCUCCUUUCCAAGUAUUAAGAUGUCAGCGAAAAUCUACCUUCUGGUGAAAUUUAAUCUGCAAAAGAGCUGCUGGUGCUCAUAAAAAUAGCUGUCAGACAUUAUGACUCCUCUGAGACACGUACGACGAAGAAGGGGUCAUGGACCCCAGGGCAGGAGAGCAAAACUACUUAGAACCCUUAAAGACUGGGCAGCCCAGAAGUUCUCAACCUGGGGUCAGGAAGCCCUAAGCGGUCUAUGAGUGGGAUUCAGGAUAUCUGGAAAUUCCCUCAAAUUGAACAAAAAUGUUCAUUCAUUUGUGGGGGAGGGGAAACUUUUGUCAGAUUCUCAGAGGUUCAUGAACAAAAAUGAUUAAGUGUAUCAUAAUAUACCAUCAGUCUAGUACAUUAUUUCCACAGAUUUUUUUUUACUCCCCAAAAUUAUUUUUUAAUGCUCAAAAAAUACUUGGAUACUGAAUCUUAGCAGAAAUUUAAAAAUUAUAGAAAAAGCGGAGGUCUCUUUGUCCACACCUCCAUUCCAGAACUGUCUUCCCCCAGCACGUUUUACAUAGACCGCAAUGCUGUAUUUGAUCCGUGUGUGUGCAACUUGCCUUUGCAUUGCACAGUGUCUCGGGGGCAGUUCCACACAGGCGCAUGGAGAGCCACCUCAUCCUUGUCCCUUGCUGUCUAGUACUCCAUAGUCAAGCUGGGCUCAGGGUACGCAGGCAUUCCUCUACUGAUGACACUUCAGCUGUUUCCAGUUUCCUCCCAUUACAAACAGCAUGAUGAGCAUGAUGCAUAUGAGUAUCUUUUAUUCAUCAUUUUAUGCACUAGUACAAGUGCAUGUAUAUAUGUAUGUGUUUUUUUGAGGUAGUGUCUCAUUCUAUGGCCUAGGUUGGAGUGCAGUGGCACAGUCUCGGCUCAGUGCAACAUCUGCCUGCCAGGUUCAAGCAAUUCUCCCACCUCAGCCUCCCAAGUAGCUGGAACUACAGGUGUGCACAGCCACACCUGGCUAAAUUUUGUAGUUUUUUGGUAGAGUGGGGGUUUCACCAUGUUGGACAGGCUGGUCUGGAACUCCCAACCUCAUGUGAUCUGCCUGACUUGGCCUCCCAGUCUUGGAAUUACAGGUGGUACAAGUGUUUCUUCAGCAGAGAGGACAAGACGGGGAAUUGCUUGGUCCUGGGAUGUGCACAUUUAUAAUCUAUAAUUCAACUGACAAGCUCUCUAUAAAGUGGUUUACCACUCCACUAUUUGUAUAUAAAAUAUUUUCCUGUCUCCUACUGUCACACUGGAUAUUAUUGAUCACUUUAAUUUU